AAUAUGAAAAGAUGCUAUGAAGAAUCUCCUAUAUUUGGGCACUUGGGUGAUUCAGAGCAAGUAGUGCAACCGGCUUGAAAUC
rnacentral:ncRNA from 1 species